rnacentral:rRNA from 1 species
UGUGACUGCGUACCUUUUGUAUAAUGGGUCAGCGACUUAUAUUCUGUAGCAAGGUUAACCGAAUAGGGGAGCCGAAGGGAAACCGAGUCUUAACUGGGCGUUAAGUUGCAGGGUAUAGACCCGAAACCCGGUGAUCUAGCCAUGGGCAGGUUGAAGGUUGGGUAACACUAACUGGAGGACCGAACCGACUAAUGUUGAAAAAUUAGCGGAUGACUUGUGGCUGGGGGUGAAAGGCCAAUCAAACCGGGAGAUAGCUGGUUCUCCCCGAAAGCUAUUUAGGUAGCGCCUCGUGAAUUCAUCUCCGGGGGUAGAGCACUGUUUCGGCAAGGGGGUCAUCCCGACUUACCAACCCGAUGCAAACUGCGAAUACCGGAGAAUGUUAUCACGGGAGACACACGGCGGGUGCUAACGUCCGUCGUGAAGAGGGAAACAACCCAGACCGCCAGCUAAGGUCCCAAAGUCAUGGUUAAGUGGGAAACGAUGUGGGAAGGCCCAGACAGCCAGGAUGUUGGCUUAGAAGCAGCCAUCAUUUAAAGAAAGCGUAAUAGCUCACUGGUCGAGUCGGCCUGCGCGGAAGAUGUAACGGGGCUAAACCAUG